GAUUGACCCGCUGAAUUCAAGCAUAUAAGUAGGCGGAGGAAAAGGAACUAAACAGGAUUCCCUUAGUAAUGGCGAACGAACAGGGAUAAGCUCAGGUUGGAAACCAGGGCCCUGGUCCUGGGUUGUAGCCUGCAGACGUAGCGCUAUCGGCGGCUUGAGCGAAAGCCUCUUGGAACGGAGCGUGUGCCCAGGUGAGAAUCCUGUGUUUCGCUUGAAGUCCGCCGUGUACGGUGCUCGCUCUCAAAGUCACGCUCCUCGGAAUUGGAGCGUAAAUCAGGUGGUAGAUUUCAUCUAAAGCCAAAUACAGACCUGAGACCGAUAGUGAACAAGUACCAUGAGGGAAAGAUGAAAAGGACUUUGGAAAGAGUGUUAAAAGUGCUUGAAAUCGCUGAAAGGGAAGCGAAUGGAACCACAUGCUUGCUGAGAUUGCUGCCAAUGCUUGUGAGCCCUGGUCAUUAAAGCGCAGGCUUCUCGUCUAGGAGUGAGUUGGCAUUUGUAGAGCUUCUUAGCUUGCGCGUCACAUGCCACA
rnacentral:rRNA from 1 species